UAUUUAAAAUUCUGAAAGUUUUUCCUUACUGUUUAUUUUAUAAGUAAUUGUGGUAACUGCUAACCUUUUUGGUGUACGUGGGAGAAGGUUUCUGCAACAAACUUCAAAUAUUGUUGGAAGAACGCACUUUUAAAUUAAAGAUAAGCUUGUCAGAAGAGGUGCAGUUUGUUUCAGACAGGCAGGGCUGACUGCCUUCAUAGCUACUGUCAGCUCUCUUUAUCUUUAGAAUUUAGGGAAUUAUAUUCUGUUUUUCCAUAAGCUGUUAUGCUUGCUUCCUCACUAUGAUGUUUGUAACAAAUAAGUAGCAUCAGGUGAGGAAAAGGCAUCUUGCACUUGGGAAGUUGUUGGGCUUUUCUGUGAUCCUUCAUUUCUGUGGAAUUUCAUCCCCAGGUUUUGGACCGGUCCCUCAAAUUGUAGAAAGCCUCUUUGCUCAGGAGGAAUGUGGUUAUAAACCAUGAUCUUGAGGUGGGAGAUUCCACUGGUGUGAUAUUAUAAGUAGCAGAAACGAUGCAGCUUGGUUUCCAAGUGGAAGUUGCAAAAGCGUUUGUCUCACUUUCAAGUCCCAUGUAUAGCAUAGCUUGCCUCUGCAUUUACAGCUACAAUGCUUCACGUUCCUCAAAGCUGCCCGAAAAUUCACGGCAUACACCUCAGUUGCCCUUCAUGCUUCUUACUUGAACAUUUGCAUUCAACCCCUUUCUGUCCAGGGAAGGAUUUAGCUCUUUUAGUGUGAUAUGAGGUGCCAGCAGGAUGCAGCUGUGUCAUGGGGCUUCUGAAGAGCUCCUUGAAGGUCUCUGGAUGCUUCCUUGGUUUUGGCUUAUCCAUUCAAAAGGAGGGAGUUGCUUUGCAGAGAUGGAUGGUGGCUAGUUGGAAGAAUACACUUAAUUACAGUGUAACAUACUUAUGUAAUCAAAGUAAUUUUGCAUAGAGCACUGCAAUUUGCUGUAUCAUAGAGAGUAACUUCACUUUUUUCCAUUGAGAACGUCAGAGUUUCACGCAUGUAUGCUGUCACACUUUGAGUUUAAAGUUUACAUAGGCACAUUUUGGAUAAGUUGCAAUUCACUGUAGUAUUGUUAAAAAUUCCUGCUUUUCACACAAACGUUUACACAGUAGCUCAUGCAGAUGGACCUUAUGUAUCAUCUUAAAUUUGAGACAGAUGAGGAAAUUAAAUGAUUUUCCCAUCUAAUCACCUACCUACUACAGGAUGCUAUUUGAGCAGCUGUUUUUAGGGGUGGACAGGUGCACUGAUCUGUUCUUUGUUCAACUGCUUUCUGUAUGAGUGGAAGACAUUUCCAAAAUGAAGUAUGAUGAUAGUUUUCUAAACAUUCUUAGAAGGUGAAGACUUAAUUCUGUUGACUUUGCACAUACAAUCUCAGUUGCACCAUUUGAAAUGGUAGAAAUCAACAUACAGCCAAGCAUUUUUGUGAGUUUGCAUGUAUGUAAUAAAGUAAGAUUGGAUCACGUAUUUUUAAAUAGCUUUGAAACUUGGGAGACUUCUUGUGAAUUUAUGUAUUUAUAUUUAGAAAAUACCUAAAGUUGUGUUAAUAAGAAGUUUGACAAUUAAAAUAUCUCUGCAUGCCGAAGUGGAUGAGUUUGUAUCUUUAUUAGCAUUCUUGUUAACAGUACAUGUCAAGUUGAUACGCAAAACAGCACGUCCUUGCAAACAACCUUAAUUUCUGGUAAAUUGCAUUUUGGCAAAGAAGAUUGGCUUUUAUUUAUGGUUGUUUUUUUUUUUUUUUUUUCAACUUGAAUGGAAUUGUGUGUCAGAAAGGAAGGUAAGGCCUGUACUCUGAAGGCAGAAUUUGCUUUAAGAUGUAACUGAAGGAUAGUCUCCAAGUCUGGAAAAUGCUUGUCAGUGUGGGGAUUUUUUCUCCUCCUCAUUGCAGUUUUCAAACACAUAUGUUGCUGUGGGUUAGAAGGGCAGAGCUGGGAAAUACCGGAGGGGGAAGCGGCUAUGAAGGGUUUUGGGCACAGGGAGGGGAUGGGUGAUUUUGGCACCUCAGCACUGGCAGACUGCAGUCUGGCCACCCCACUUGUUGAAUGAGAGGAGGGCUGGGAAUCACAGAAUCACAGGGUUGUAGGGGUUGGAAGGGACCUCAAGAUGCCAUUGGUCCACCCCCCCGCCAAAGCAGGUUCCCUAGAGCAGGCUGCCCAGGUAGGCGUCCAGACGGGCCUUGAAUAUCUCCAGAGAAGGAGACCCCACAACCUCCCUGGGCAGCCUGUCCCAGUGCUCCGUCACCCUCACCGUGAAGAAGUUCUUUCUCAUGUUGGUGCGGAACUUCCUGUGCUCCAUUUUGUGGCCAUUGCCCCUUGUCCUGUCCCCACAAACCACUGGAAAGAGGUUGGCCAAAUCCCUCUGUCUCCCACACCUCAGGUAUUUAUACACAUUGAUGAGAUCCCCUCUCAGUCUUCUCUUCUCCAGGCUGAACAGACCCAGGUCUCGCAGCCUUUCUUCAUAUGGGAGAUGCUCCAGGCCCCGUAUCAUCUUUGUGGCCCCCCGCUGGACUCUUUCUAGGAGAUCCCUGUCUUUUUUGUGCUGGAAGCCACACUCCUGCCUGAAACUGAAGAAACUGAAAAGUGGAGCUGCAGGAGAGCACUGGUCGUCCCCGGCCGUGGCCACACUUCUGCUCCGCUGCCAGCACCGUGCCUUGGUGGCAUGGCUUCACCUCUCUGCCAAGCGUCUUGCUUGCUUCUGCGGUGGGAUGCGAUUCUGCGUGACCUCAUCUGGCAGAUGUGUGAACGGCUGUUGGCUUUACCAAACGUAUUUGGUACUGGUGAAGCAACAGAACACUUGAACACAUAUAUUUGGAUAUAGUAAAAUUGGCAUAUUUGUUUCAAAUCAAGUUUUUAAAAGUCAAGUAAAGUCUGUAAAAUUUUAGUCAGCAGAUGAACUGUAUAGGAAGAGGGUCAACUUCCAUGCAUGUGAAAAUUGAGUGAUCAGUGAGCCAUCGAAGGCUUUGGGUUGGAAGGGACCUUUAAAGAUCACAUAGAUCACAAAGAUUGCCCCUCUGCAGCAGGCUGGGAUGUCUCUCACUAGAUCAGGUUGGCCAAAGCCCCGUCCAGCCUGACUUUGAGCACUUCCAAUGGUUGUUGGAUGCUUUGAUGGGGCAACGAGGAAUAUUUCCAAUGAUGGUGGCCUAUGGAGAUUCUUCCGAAGUCUAAAAUAAAUUGUGGGGUUUGUCACUUUAAAAGAUACUUCAUAAAAAUAGGCCCUGCUUUCAUGUUUUGGAGUGCUUUUACUAUAUACAGCACUUCAAUCUUUUAACAAACGUAUUUAUAAUAAUACAGGCAAGGGACACUUCAAUCAAUGGCGAAGUUUCUAAGUAUUGAGUAAAGGCAUUUUUUUUCUGUUCAUGAACUGUAGAAACUGCUGUAAAAAUGGGGAUAAGGAGGUGACACAGCAGAAAAUGAUGCUCAUAAACUGCUUUAGUGGCAUAGGUGAAUGUUUUCUCACUAAUGGGUGACACUGGUAGAUGUUUGUUUUAAUUUAUGGUACCUGGCAAACCUAUCUUUGAUCUUAAGGUCUUUUACCCCUCAUGUUCCCAAUGUACAAUGUCCUCCAGUUUUGUCUAAUAAAAGGCAUUUAAAAAAAUACAUAGCCUUUUUUGCCCCCCUCCCCCUUUUUUUUUUUUGCUUUAAAGCUGAUCCUGUACAGAUUCCAGUGAAGGAAAUCAGUUGAUUACCAGCAUUGUGAGUUUGAGUCAUGAAUGGGAAAUAAUCUUUGACACUGAAGGUUAGUAAGGGGGAGGAAAAAGGAAGCAUGUCAUCAACCUGGCAUGAUUGUGCACCUACUCCAAGCAAUAGUUGCAGUCUGCAUUUCAGUUUAUGAUGAGAAGAGUAAGAAAGAGCUGUACUGGAUUCUAUGAGGUGUAAUUCUGCUGCUGAUACUCCUCUAAAACAGUCAGUGGCAUAAAAUACAGCUCUGCGGUCUACACAGGGUCUAAGUCAUUGCUUUGGGUAUUUUUGCUGCGGAAGAUUUCACUGGCUUGUUUGUUCCAUAAUAUCUUUCUCUGGGAAUUUGGAACGUGUCAUUCUUUAAUCAGGGCCACCUUCUUGAAAGAUGGUAGGACUGCUGAAGUUUUUGUUUUUUUUCAGUUGACCUGUACCCCACACGGCCUGUGAAGUCCACCAGAAGGACGUUCUGUGCCUUCACGUCUGAGCUGCUGCCUUCCCUGCUCUCGCUUUGUAGGUGCUGGGUUGCUAGUGGAUCUGAAAGGAAUUUGUUUUACUCACUCAACAAGAAACUCUAAGACUCCUAUUUUUUUCCUUACUUGAAACUGGGAAGGCCUCAGGAAAGAGGUCAUCUUACAGUCAUUUUUGAUGCUUUAUUGAUACGCUGUUUUUUAUAUCUGUAUAUAGGAAUACCUGCAAAAAAUUGCACUGUCCUUUUACUAAAUAAAUUUAUCCGCAAAAAUUUUAAGUGAAUCUAUAAAAAAUAGUAUUUAUUAGUAGCAUUUUAUAAUUUCACAGGAAAUCUCUCUUAAAAUAAGCAGCUUCAGUUUCCCCCACAAUAUUGGUCAAUGGUAGACAGGGAGAUGAAUAUCCAUCUAUCAUUUGCUGACAUUCUUUAAAAUUUUGAUAUCUAGCUGCAGCUUGUUACAAACUUCAGUGGUUAAUAGGAUUUAAAGUGAAUGUGGAAACAUUACUGUAUAAUUUGAAAUAGCUGUUCAGAUUGAAAAGGCUGUAACAAUUUUAUCUGGUCCUCUCCUCCUGCCCAACUCUGAGUGAUAACAAUAUUUAGAAUUCCUUUCAAAAUGUCUUUGGAAUGAUGCUAGGCAUUUCCCUGUGUAAUUCUUUUCUGUACUUUUAGCUUUUCAACUGUUGACCCCCUUUCUUGUCUAUGUCUUGUCUACAAAAAAAAUGGCCUUUUUUUUUUUCUGGUCAUUUUACUAUAAACCUUCAUUUUCAGUACUGUGAUUUAUUGUAGAAACUCGUCUGUGGAUUUUCAUUCUCCCAAAUCCUUUUCAUGAACAAGUGGGGUCUAGUUUUGAAGCUAAAUUUGCGUCAGUAUUUGUGAUGAUUAAUGUUUUGGAUCUUAAUAUCUCCAAAUUUGAUUACUGCAGUAUUUCCUAGCUUCUUGAAAUCUUCUUUAUCUGUCCUUCAGGGAGAUGGUUUUACUUGCUGAUACAUAGCAAAUGCAGUUGGUUUAUACUUUUAGACAGGCACUUCAUGGUCAGUUUAUUGUUCAGGAUGAUUUAAAGCAGGAUCAGACAAAAUAGCAUGGUUUGCAUACUAGCUAAAUAUCAUAAAUAGCUGUUACUAUGACGAAAGUAGUAACUGUAAUAAAUGUUUCUGAAAAGUAUAGUUUAACAUCUGUGAUUUGAGUGCUUAAUGAAGUUAGGUUUGUACUUUCGAAGAAUUGAAGUUAUAUUUUCAGGUAAAUGAGUCAGCAUAAGAGAUUAAUGCUUCUAGGAGUUCUAUUUUGGUAUCUAACUCAGGUAUUUCCAUUGAGAGUGAUGGCAUUCUGAGUGAAGAGACGGCUUAAAUAUAGAGUUGCAUAGUAUGUAGAACAAGGUGAUAUUAAAAUUUAGAAAUAAGUAUUAGAAAGUAAGAUGCAUUGUGUCAACACAGUAAAUUUUUAUAAUGCUGUGUUUAUGUAUUAUCUUUGAAAUGUUUUCAUAUGAGUUGCAAGUAAAAAAGGAAUGUUAUGAAGAUAUGCAAUGAUAUAUAAAUAUUCUUGAUUUGUGUUGAGGAAGUUAGAGAGCAGGAAUUCUCUUAAAGAGUAAAAGAAGGUAAACGUUGACUUCAAAAUGUAGUAUUUUUGGAAGUGAUUGUUUCUCAAGAAUGUAACACUUGUAUGGCCAUCUGAAAACCACAUUACAGUUUCAUGGCUAGGAGGAUGAAUGUGCAUAUACACAAAAGUUUCGUCUGUAAUGAACAGAAGAGAGAUUGUACAAUGACUCAGGAACAUAACUCUUUGUGAAAAAUUUGUUUUUACUCCAGUACUGCUGAUUUCAGGACAAUUUCACAAUACUAUUUGUUAUUGGAGAUCAGCCUUAUUUGGAAUUGGAUUUGAAAAGUCUGAUUUCCAAAGUUGGUGAAAUUGUGCAACUAAACAGAAAUUGAAGAUCGAAACAGUCAUUC